rnacentral:tRNA from 1 species
GCACGGGUGGCGAAGCGGUAACGCGGCGGCCUGCAAAGCCGUUAUUCAUGGGUUCGAAUCCCAUCCCGUGCUCCA